ensembl:lncRNA
CUAUCAGUAGUUUUUUUUAAGCAAAUGGCUGUUGCUGCACAUUAUCGCAUUGUGAUGCUAAGCAUCUUGUUUUAUGUUGUUACACUGAGGUGAUACCACAGUGAAUAACUGCUUUUCAGAGUCAUAAAACUGACAAAGGAAAAUAUCCUUUGUUCUGUACAAAGUCUGUUUUUCUGUCAGUGAAGUUCUGUAAGUUGGCAGUUUUACUUUACAGAAUCUGGUUCUGUGAGCAAUUCGAGGCAGAAAUGGCUUGCUGGUGGGUGGGUGAAAUGUGACUAGAAUGUUACCUUGAAGAAAUACAUAGCAAUGUUGUUUUGUUUCCAAUUUAAAAUAGAAUAAGGAUUUCAUUAAUCAAGAAAGCUUUACUGUGAAAGUACAGUUACAAGGGAAUGGUGGGUCUGUCGUAGAUGAGGUGAGCUGACUGUUUUCUGACCAAUGCCCAACUCCUGAACCCUUUCCUGCUUUUUUUGCCAGGUUUGUUUAUGUUCAUCAGCAGAGAUGUUUAUAAAUGACCACUUUGGUUAGUUAAGACAUUUCUUUUUGUAUAGUGCUGUUUCUUCACCAUUGUGCAGUAUUUGAAGGAGAUCAGAACUUUUGAAUAUCAUUUAAUUUGUAUAUGCUUCUCAAAUUUCAAAUCCGAAACCACUUUUGUAUGUCCAGGCUAUUUACUUUCCAGGCUAUUUAAAAACAGCUAAUUGUAGGCCUUUUUCUACCUGUAAGUAUUUGGUCACAAUAUGCUAAAUGCAACAUUUUAAUAUUAAUACAGGAUAAUAUAAACAUUUCAAAUAAUACUCUUAAAAUACUUGUCAGGAUGAGUGUCAAUCAACCUAGAUUAGACCUAGACUGUGGGCAUCAGGAAGAUAAGCUGCUGCUUUUGUUAUUAGCUAAUUAUUGGGAUCGUAAUAAAAAAAUACUAAAUGCAGUAUUCCAAUGAUGUGGUUGAGUGUCCAGUUAAGCAAUAUUAGUCACCCUAAUGGGGGGGACACAAUACCAUACCAUCUGUCUGAAGUAAAUUUCUAUAAACAUCUUAAUCUACACCAUUAAGACAUCUACAGGAUAGUUAAAAAUAACUAUUCAGCAUGACAAAAUAGUUGAAAAGAAAAGCUUUGAAUGAGGAAAAGAAGGGUUCAAUUCUGGCUUUACUGGCAGAGGGAUACAGUUAGCGUCCGGUUGCUUCCAUCCUGAAAAUACCAAAGACGGCGGUUCAUAAGAACAAGCUCAAGCAACAGACAUUGGAGAUAACAACGCUAAAGACUGGCAGAGGGUGAAAAUGACUGUCAACUGACCGAGAUGACCGUCAACUCAUUCAAAUGUCACUGAACAACCGUAGGAUGACAUCAAAUUAGUUCUUCUUUCAGUGGGGUAUAAAUAUGAGGUGACACAUGAAAAGUCCUUUAUUGACAUGGAGAAAUUUAGAGAAAACUGAAAUUAAAUAAGACCAAAGGCUGUCCUUACUUCAUAAAUUAGGCAAUGUCUAAGAUAAAAUAGCUAUGCAUCUGAAAAUCCCUAUCUCCACAAUCAGGGCAAUAAUUAAGAAGUUAAAACCAACUGAAGCUUUAUUAAAUCUCCCUGGAAGAAGACCGAAGUGUGCAUUGCAGAUUUAAGAGGUCCUGUUAACCUCUGUCAAAUUGGAUGGGGAGUGCCAGGGAAAUAACAUUUUUC